UAGCAAAAUUUAGACAUUUACUGCUUGUUUUAGACAGACCUUUCUUCAGUCUUCUCUAUAUAUUAUUUACUAAUGAGAACCUUCAGGGUUUCCUGGAUUUAAGGGACCACCUGGUAUGAAGGAAAUGAUAUACUGGUCCUGUAACUGUGAGGUUGUUGCCUUUGCGAGUUUGAGUUAUGUUUUGCUAGAGACAGAAUUUUAACUAUAGUCUCCUGUGUACAGUAUAAACUCACCUAGGAGCUUAACCGUGGGCUCAUGGAGAGACAUUCGUGCUGAGAAGAUAAUGCCAUCUCCACAGAGCACGACUUCUACUGUAGAUUACUGCUGUUUAUGCUGCCUCUACCUGCAACCUCUUUGUCAGAAAUCACAUAUUGUAGCAGCAUACUGCCAUUUUUUGUCAUGCUAAACAGUACCUUUCUGUUUCCAUCCAGUAUCCCAGAAUGCUCAGCACGGCCACACCCUUUUUUGUGUGUGAUUGACUGCCUCAUUGAAGAAAGCUCCUGAGUGCAGUGAUAUUGAGCUGAAGGUCAACAGGAAUCCUCCGAUUGGCUGUUUUCCUUGCUUACGCCUGACGCAUCCCAGCCAGGAAAGAGGGGUUAUAGAGGACACUGGAGAGGUAUCUGACUGAGGGUGUGCGGGCCGGUCCUGCUGGGCUCCCUCUGUCGGCCCCUCUGUCCCCAUCUGGACUGUGUUUAUCAGUCUCAGGGGUCAGUACACAGAGUCACAGUCCUCCUUCAAACACCUUUCCACACUCACAGACAGAGAGCUUUCCUGAGGUGUCAAUGCAAACAUUUGAGGCAAGACAGUGAGUCAGACACAGUUGCAUAAUUUCAGAGGUCGUUUAGAACAGAAGGUAUUAUCCAAAGAAGAGAGAACAGAAGAAGGACAAAAUGGCUUGGCUUCCUGUCACCAUGGAGAUGCCUCCUUGCCACAAUGCCUCUGUCUCAUUAUGGAUUCUUCCCAAAACGUCCUGGAAGUGAUGUCUGGUCUUGCCUGACAAUGCCUAUCAUGUUUUGGGCUGAGUUCCUCUGUGGACACUGUAAUGACCUGUAGUAUAUAUUUAAUGUCUCUGAGAUGGCCGUGUAUGCAUGUUUAUAUGAGAGAGAGAGAGCCUUGCAGCCUGCAGUCAUUGCAUCCGUCUCUCUGACGCCCUGGCUGAGACGAGUAUACGUGGGAUGCAUACUAACAGACGCCUGCCUGACAAACCAGAGUCCGGCAUGAAACUGCUUGAUGUGCGCAAGUGUGAGCAGCUCUCAGUCAUUUUGAAGACGGUGGCAGAUGUGGGUGGUUAUUCUGAAAGCUCUUCUGUGUGUAGCCCGUUGGGACCGGCGGAGUUACAUAACAAGGUUUUCAUCAGCGCGGCAGUAAACAGCUGAGUGGAAGGAGGAAAAUGUGUGUUUUGUAGCAGGGGAUGGUAGGGGGUUGAGUUGAGGUUGCAGUGCGAUGGAUGGAGAGGGUUCUUGUCUUGCCGAGGGUGGGGGUGGUCAAACAAUCUGGGACAGACAGCCCAUGUGAUCGUCGCCAUGGUGACAGGACGAGCUCAAAGGCGAAUGUAGCUGCUCACAGCAUUUGGUUGCUUAUGAGUGCGUUUGUUUGUGUGCGCUAACAUUCAGGUUUCCAAUGUUGAUGAAGUGACUUAGUCAGUGCGUGUGUGUAUGUGUUAAGUAGCUUGGCAGGAUUAUAGGCCUAUCCAGAAACUCCUUUCUGUGUAGCUGGACUUUAAUCACUGCCAGGCAUUUUUGCACUUUCGUUUGUAACGUCAUCUUGAAAUGUGCAGCUCAAGAGGAUAUAUGCUCCAAAAUUACAUGCUCUGUGAAAAAUA